GAUGAACGCUAGCGGUGAGCCUAACACAUGCAAGUCGAACGGCACUCUGCUUCGGUAGAGUGAAGUGGCGAACGGGUGAGUAAUGCAUAAGAAUCCACCCAGUAGCGCGGGAUACCCUUCGGAAACGGAGGACAAAACCGCAUGAACCCCGAGGGGCAAAAGAAUUUCUGCUACUGGUCGAGCUUAUGUUGGAUUAGCUAGUUGGUGAGGUAACGGCUUACCCAAAGGCUUAGAUCCAUAGCUGGUCUGUGAGGAUGAUCAGCCACAUUGGGACUGAGAUACGGCCCAGACUCCUACGGGAGGCAGCAGUGAGGAAUAUGG
rnacentral:rRNA from 1 species